rnacentral:sRNA from 1 species
GUUGACUAGCGCAUAUUUGCUAAGAGCACCAUGCGCGCAGCAGCCAUCUCCACUCCAAAGUUAGACAAAAUGCCAGGAAUGUUCUUCUCUGCUAACCCAAAGGAAUUGAAAGGAACCACUCAUUCACUUCUAGACGACAAAAUGCAAAAAAGGAGGCCAAAGACUUUACUUUCUGCUGCUGAAGUAAUGCAAUGGUCUCAAUCUCUGGAAAAACUUCUUGCCAACCAAAGUAAGUAUAACUAUUGAAUGUUUCUGGGUUCAGCUAAAUACUCUAAAAAAUUGAAUGGCUUCACUAAAUAUAGUAUUCUGGGUAGGAUAGUAUGCAAAAGGUUGUAUUCUAGUUUGUCUGUAGUUACUGAUAACUUCAGCAUAGUAUGCCUCUUAAUAAUGCUGACUUAGCACUCAAUUCUGCCAACUCCUUUUAGACAAAUUUGCCAAGACAAUUAGGUAUUUUCAUAGAUCAUUAUGGAGAUAAAAUUAAACAUUGUGCUGGGAUUCUGAUAUGUAAAAAUUUUAAAAGUAAGCCAAAUAUUUUAAUAUGUACAUUGCCAUUUUGAAAUCUGCCUAAAGAAUGUAUUUUUCUACACUUGGAUGCAACAAGUAUGAUUCAUUCAUCCAAUUAAUUAAAUUAUCUUUCAUACAUUCAUCAUUCAUCUCACCCUUAUGUAGA